GCCGGGGCCAUUUGCAUGGAGGAGCCUCCCCUCUCAGGGUAUGAAGAGGGGAAGGACAGACCUGGGGAAGCUGCUGCAGCUGCGGGCACAGAAGGCAGCACUCGGGACAGUCCCGCCAUGGCCUGGGCCCCACUCCUGCUCUCCCUCCUGGCUCACUGCACAGGGUCCUGGGCCCAGUCUGCGCUGACGCAGCCGCCCUCGGUGUCUGGAGCCCCGGGGCAGAGCGUCACCAUCUCCUGCUUGGGGAGCAACAGCAACAUUGGGGGUAACUAUGCGAACUGGUACCAGCAACUCCCAGGAACAGCCCCCAAAACCCUCAUCUAUGCUAACAGCAAUAGACCCUCGGGGGUCCCUGCCCGGUUCUCUGGCUCCAAGUCUGGCAGCUCGGCCUCCCUGACCAUCACGGAACUCCAGGCUGAGGACGAGGCUGACUAUUACUGUUCAGCCUGGGACGACAGCCUGAGUGGUCACACAGUGCUGCAGACACAGGGGGAAGUGAGACAAAAACCUGCCCCUGCUUUCCUGUGAUCACUGUCACGACUGCCUGUGACAAACGCCAGGCAAAACAUUGACUGUGGCCGACCCCAGGCACUCACGUCUGAGGAUCUAACUCUCAGCGCACAGACCUGCUUUAAAUGCUCACUGACCUUCCAAAGUCAGUGAC